rnacentral:rRNA from 1 species
AAUCAACGCUGGCGGCGUGCCUCAGACAUGCAAGUCGAACGCGAAAUUUCCCUUCGGGGAGAAAGUAGAGUGGCGCACGGGUGAGUAACACGUAGGUAAUCUACCUCUGGGUGGGGAAUAACAGCCGGAAACGGCUGCUAAUACCGCAUAAUGCAGCGGCACCGCAAGGUGACAGUUGUUAAAGCGGGGGGAUCCUGAAAGGGACCUCGCGCCUGAAGAGGAGCCUGCGGCAGAUUAGCUAGUUGGUGAGGUAAUGGCUCACCAAGGCAACGAUCUGUAGCCGGCCUGGAGAGGGCGGUCGGCCACACUGACACUGACAUACGGGUCAGACUCCUACGGGAGGCAGCAGUCGGGAAUUUUGGGCAAUGGGCG